rnacentral:rRNA from 1 species
AACGAACGCUGGCGGCAUGCCUAACACAUGCAAGUCGAACGAGUCCUUCGGGUCUGGUGGCGCACUCGUGCGUAACGCGUUGGAACCUGCCCUUAGGUUUGCCUUGACUCCCCGAAAGGCGUCCUAAUACCGGCUAAUGUCUUCCGUCCAAAGUUUUAUCGCCUUUGGAUGGGCCCGCGUUGGAUUACCUUGUGGUUAGCGUAAAACGGUACCACUGCUAGGUUACAUAGCUGGUUUGAGAGGAGGAUCAGCCACACUGGUAGUGAGGCACGGCCCAGAAUACUACGGGAGGGAGGAGUGGGGAAUAUUGGAAAAUGGGCGAAAGCAUGAACCAGCAAUGACGGGUGAGUGAUGAAGGCCGUAGGGUUGUAAAGCAAGUUUAUACCGGAUGAUAAUGACAGUACCGGGAGAAUAAGCUCCGGCUAACUCCGUG